AUCGCCGGAAAACCAACAAAAAAAACCCAAAAACAAAAGAAAGACUUCGGAAAACAGAAGACAAUUACGUUGAAGCCGAAAGAGAGAGACAAACCAGAGCAGAGCAGCAACAACAAACAAAGCCAAUAGAAAGCUCGAGCCAGAGUUUAGAAAGUCGACUCAGUCGAGUGAGAAUGAGAGAUGCUAAAACUACAGAAGCAGCAGCAAGAGAAUGAUGCAGGGUCUUCAUCACCAACAGCAGCAACUCGCGGCGCUUCUCUCCGUCGCGCUUCCCAAGGACGAUUCGGCUUCCGCCUCGGCCCCAUCCUCUAACUCGGACGACGACGACUCGGCUCGACUCGCCGCCAUCAACUCUCUUCACCGCGCCGUUCUUUACCCGCCCAACUCGCUCCUCGUCACUCACUCCGCCACUUUUCUCGCCCAGGGCUUUUCGCAGCUUCUCUCCGAUAAAUCGUAUGCGGUGAGGCAAGGGGCAGCUGUAGCGUACGGGGCUCUUUGUGCCAUGGUUUCUUCGAUCCCUAUAACGUCAAAUGGAAGACAAAACCAUGUUAUGCUGGGAAGCUUGGUUGACCGGUUCAUUGGUUGGGCGUUGCCGUUGCUUAGCAAUGGCGGCGCUGGAGAAGGGACCAUGGAAUUGGCAUUGGAUAGCCUACGGGAGUUUCUUAAUGUUGGGGAUGUUGGUGGGGUUGAGAGAUAUGCUUUGUCAAUUCUCAAAGCAUGUCAAGUACUUCUCGAGGAUGAGAGAACCUCCUUGAGUCUGUUACAUCUGCUUCUCGGUGUUUUAACAUUGAUUUCGUUAAAGUUUUCUAGAUGCUUCCAGCCUCAUUUUCUUGACAUUGUUGAUCUUCUUCUCGGGUGGGCUUUGGUACCAGACCUUGCUGAAUCGGAUAGACGAAUAAUAAUGGAUAGUUUUUUGCAAUUUCAGAAUCAUUGGGUGGGUAAUUUGCAGUUUUCUGUUGGACUGCUGUCGAAGUUUCUAGGUGACAUGGAUGUUUUGCUUCAGGAUGUAAGUCAUGGAACCCCACAACAAUUUCGAAGGUUGCUUGCAUUGCUUUCUUGUUUUUCAACAAUUUUGCAGUCCACUGCUUCUGGGUUGCUGGAAAUGAAUUUACUUGAACAAAUCACUGAACCCCUUAACAGAAUUGUUCCUCGUUUAUUGGGAUGUUUAUCUAUGGUUGGAAGGAAAUUUGGGUGGUUGGAAUGGAUUGGGGAUUUAUGGAAGUGUUUGACUCUGUUGGCAGAAAUAUUUUGUGAAAGGUUUUCCACUUUUUAUCCCCUUGCAUUUGAUAUUUUAUUUCAAAGUUUGGAAGUGGACAAUACUUCCCAACCAAUGGGAAGUGGAAGAAUUACCUCCUUUCAAGUUCAUGGAGUUUUAAAAACUAAUCUCCAAUUAUUGUCCUUGCAAAAGUUUGGCCUUCUCCAAUCAUCUGUGCAGAAAAUAUUGCAAUUUGAUGCUCCAAUAUCUCAGCUGCGUUUGCAUCCUAAUCACCUAGUAACUGGCAGUUCGGCUGCCACUUAUAUUUUCUUGCUUCAACACGGGAAUAAUGAAGUUGUUGAACAAGUGUUGACAUCUUUAACAGAGGAGCUGGAGUUGUUGAAGGGCAUGUUAGAGAAAGCCACGGGUCUUGGAGAUGAGGUUGUUGGAUGCUCUAAAUUGUAUUCAAAACUUGAAUUGUUUGCAUUGAUUAAAUUUGAUUUGAAAGUUAUGUUGACAUCUGUUUUCUGGGGUGGGGAGAACAGUUUGACUUGUCAACUAGACAUUGCAACCCUAUAUCUUAUGAGGUCAGAAAAAUUGUUGGAUUUUAUCAUAGAGAAAUUUAAUCCUUUUGACUUACCUGUUAUGGCAUAUGUGGAUUUGCAAGUCAAUGUUAUCAAGACAUUAGACAGGUUAACAACAGUUAAAUUCUUAAGCAAGUGCUCUAUAACAUAUCAGAGUAGUGGGAAAUCAUCACCAGUUGUGACUGCUGAUAAAUUACUUAAUGGCAAUUAUUUGACAAAUGAACUAUCAGUUGUGGUUGUUGAGAAUCUGAGGAAGUACAGUAUGUUCUUUGUGAAAGCUCUCCAUGUUUCUUCUCCGCUUGCAGUUAAAACAGUUGCGCUAGAUUGGGUUCAAAGUUUUGGUGAGAAUGUUAUUGCUAUUAACGAGAAAUCAAACACAGAAACUGAUUUCUAUGAAGUGUAUGGUAAUAUUAAGAUUAUUGGGAAUAUGCUUUUCUCAAUUUUGGAUGCUGCAUCUGACAGGGAACCAAAUGUGAGGUCACAUGUUGCAUUAGUAUUGGAGUUGUUACUGCAGGCAAGGAUUAUACAUCCUCGCUACUUUUAUUGUUUGGCUGAAGUGGUCCUAGGAAAACUUGGUGAUCCAGAUAGUGAUAUAAAAAAUGCAUUCGUUCGGUUGCUUGCUAUUGUUGUGCCUACUACAUUGUAUGCAUGUGGGCUUCAUGAUUAUGGGACAUCUACUUCUUCUAGGGCUGUUGCUCUUCGGUUAGGCAAUAGUUCUAACUUGCAAUGGAAGCAAGGAUUUGCCUUGAAGCAGCUCCCUCAGCAACUUCACUCCCAACAACUUGUUACCAUAUUGAGUUACAUAUCCCAAAGGUGGAAGGUGCCUCUUUCCUCUUGGAUCCAACGGCUUAUUCAUAGUUGUCGGAGUUCAAAAGACCUUCCAAUUCAACUUGAGGAAACAGGAAAUUUUGGUGCCAUUGGUGUGUGGUUGGACAUAAAAAUGGAGGAAGACUUUCUUGAAAAGCAUUGCUCAGUUAAUAAUCUGGCUGGUGCCUGGUGGGCUGUUCAUGAAGCUGCUAGAUAUUGUAUUGCCACACGCCUUCGGACUAACCUUGGUGGGCCAACCCAGACCUUUGCAGCAUUAGAGCGAAUGCUUUUGGACGUUGCACACCUGCUAAUGCUUGACAGUGAGCAAAAUGAUGGGAAUUUAAGUAUGAUAGGGUCAUCUGGUGCUCAUUUGUUACCAAUGAGGUUACUAUUCGAUUUUGUUGAGGCGCUGAAGAAAAAUGUAUAUAAUGCAUAUGAGGGAUCUGCUGUUUUACCGUCUGCUACUCGCUCUAGUUCCUUAUUCUUUCGAGCUAACAAGAAAGUCUGUGAGGAGUGGUUUUCUCGUAUUUGUGAGCCAAUGAUGAAUGCUGGAUUAGCUCUCCAAUGCCAUGAUGCUACAAUUCAGUAUUGUGCUCUGCGUUUACAGGAGCUGAGGAAUCUUGUGGCUUCAGCUUUGAAUGAAAAGUCUAGGUCACAAGUAACUGAGAACCUUCAUAAUAUCAGAGGCAGAUUUUCUGCAGACAUCUUGAGGGUUGUACGGCACAUGGCAUUGGCUCUGUGUAAGACUCAUGAAUCAGAGGCUUUACAUGGCCUGGAAAAAUGGGUUUCAAUGACACUCGCUCCCUUUCUUGUGGAGGAAAACCAGUCCCUCAGUAACAGUAGGGUGUUGGGACCCUUUACAUGGAUCACUGGGCUUGUAUAUCAGGCAGAAGGUAAAUAUGAAAAGGCUGCUGCGCACUUUAUUCACUUGCUACAGGCUGAGGAGUUGUUGAGUUCCUUGGGUUCUGAUGGUGUACAGUUUGUCAUUGCUCGCAUCAUUGAGUGUUAUACUUCUGUUUGUGAUUGGAAAUCUUUAGAAUCCUGGUUAUCAGAAUUGCAAACACUUCGUGCUAAGCAUGCUGGGAAGAGUUAUUGCGGUGCUCUCACAACGACAGGCAAUGAAAUUAAUGCAAUCCAUGCCUUGGCACGGUAUGAUGAGGGUGAAUUUCAGGCAGCAUGGGCAUGCCUUGGUUUGACACCUAAAAGUAGCAGUGAGCUCACCCUUGAUCCGAAAUUGGCCUUGCAAAGAAGUGAGCAGAUGCUUUUACAGGCAAUGCUUCUUCAGAAUGAGGGAAAGGAAGAUAAGAUGCCACAUGAAUUACAGAAGGCCAGGUCAAUGCUGGAGGAAACAUUGUCUAUUCUGCCGCUUGAUGGAUUAGAAGAAGCAGCAGCAUAUGCUACCCAGUUGCACUGCAUCAUUGCAUUUGAAGAAUUUUACAAGAUUAAAGACAACCAAGAUAAACCCAGGCAACUUCAGUCAAUAUUAAGUUCAUACGUCCAACUUAUGCAUCCACAAAUGGGUAGAGUCUAUCUAGAUUGUAACCCUUGGUUAAAAGUUCUGCGAGUUUAUCAAACCAUUUCCCCAAUUUCUCCUGCGACUCUAAAGCUUUCUAUGAAUUUGUUGAGCUUGGCCCGCAAACAACAAAACCUACUGUUGGCAAACCGUCUGAACAACUAUCUCCAAGAUCACAUAUUGAGUUGUUCCAGGGAAAGGCACCAUGACUUUCUCACCUCAAAUUUGCAGUAUGAGGGCAUCCUGCUAAUGCAUGCUGAAAACAAGUUUGAAGAUGCUUUGACGAACCUUUGGUCUUUUGUGCGUCCUUGCAUGGUUUCUUCACUGUCUAUAGUUUCUGACGCUGACAAUAGUAUUCUGAAGGCCAAGGCAUGCUUGAAACUCUCAAAUUGGCUUAAACAGAACUAUUCAGAUUUGAGGUUAGAUGACAUUGUUCUUAAUAUGCGGUCAGACUUUGAGAUGGCUGAUUACUCUUCUCCUGGAACGGGUAGGCCCUCAUUUGGCGAUGAGAUCUUAAGCUCUAAACCACCUUUGGGUCCUAUCAUUGAGGAAAUUGUGGGUACAGCUACAAAAUUGUCUACUCGUCUCUGUCCCACUAUGGGAAAAUCCUGGAUUUCUUAUGCCUCUUGGUGUUUUAGUAUGGCCCAGGAUUCUCUCUUAACCCCAAAUGAAAACACCCUUCACUCAUGCUCAUUUUCUCCCACCCUUGUUCGUGAAGUUCUGCCUGAGAGAUUCAAGCUAACUGAAGAUGAGAUCAUAAAAGUGGAAUCUUUGAUUUUUCAGCUCAUUCAGAAUAAGGAUGACAAGGGUUUUAGAGUUGAACAGGGAGAUUCGAACUACUCUCUUGAUUCUGCUGAACUGAGAAAUAACAACCCUGUGAUGGCUUUGGUGCAACAAGUAGUGAGUAUCAUUGAAGCUGUUUCUGGGGGACCUGGUGCAGAAGAUUGUAGUGACGAUUGCUUUUCUGCUACUCUAGCUUCUCAGUUGAAGAUCUGCUUUCUUCGUGCAAAUUUUGGCAUAAAUGAAACCGAUAUAAUUUCUGUAGUUGAUGAUUUAGUUGUUGUCUGGUGGUCUUUGAGGAGGAGAAGAGUGUCACUCUUUGGGCAUGCAGCUCAUGGCUUUAUAAAGUAUCUUUCGUAUUCAUCCGCUAAAAUUUGCAAUGGUGGCUUGGUUGACUCUGAUUUUGAGCCUCUGAAGCAAAAAGCUGGCAGCUAUACUCUGAGGGCUACAUUGUAUGUCCUACAUAUUCUUCUCAAAUACGGAGCGGAGUUGAAAGAUAUACUUGAACCUGCUCUUUCAACUGUUCCUUUGUCACCCUGGCAGGAAGUAACUCCUCAAUUGUUUGCUCGGUUAAGUUCUCAUCCUGAGCAAGUGGUUCGGAAGCAGUUGGAGGGCUUACUGAUGAUGCUGGCCAAGCAAUCUCCUUGGUCCAUUGUCUACCCAACACUAGUUGAUGUGGAUGCUUAUGAAGAGAAGCCCUCAGAGGAGCUUCAGCACAUACUUGGUUGUUUGAGUGAACUAUAUCCAAGAUUGAUUCAGGAUGUUCAGCUUGUGAUAAAUGAGCUGGGAAACGUUACUGUUCUUUGGGAGGAGCUAUGGCUCAGCACACUUCAAGAUAUUCACACAGAUGUCAUGAGGCGCAUAAACGUGCUGAAAGAGGAAGCUGCACGAAUUGCAGAAAAUGUUACUCUUAGCCAGAGUGAGAAAAACAAGAUAAAUGCUGCUAAAUAUUCAGCUAUGAUGGCUCCUAUUGUUGUGGCCUUGGAACGUCGUCUAGCUUCUACAUCUCGGAAACCUGAAACACCUCAUGAAGUAUGGUUCCAUGAGGAGUAUAAAGAUCGGUUGAAAUCAGCCAUCAUGGCCUUCAAGACCCCUCCAGCAUCCGCUGCAGCACUUGGUGAUGCAUGGCGUCCAUUUGAUAAUAUUGCUGCAUCCUUAGGAUCUUAUCAGAGGAAGUUAUCAAUUCCUUUAAGGGAAGUUGCACCACAACUGGCUUUACUAUCAUCGUCUGAUGUUCCAAUGCCUGGUCUUGAGAAGCAAGACACAGUCUCUGAAGCUGACAGAGGUCUCAGUGCUAAUCUUCAGGGAAUUGUCACCAUUGCUUCAUUCUCUGAGGAGGUGGCUAUCAUAUCAACCAAGACUAAACCUAAGAAACUAGUUAUUCUUGGUUCAGAUGGUCAAAAGUACACAUAUCUCUUGAAGGGCAGGGAAGAUCUCCGCCUAGAUGCCAGAAUCAUGCAGCUCUUGCAAGCUAUAAAUGGUUUUCUGCAUACAUCUCUUGCAACUCAUAGUCACUUUCUUGGUGUUCGCUAUUAUUCUGUGACUCCAAUUAGUGGCCGGGCUGGCCUCAUCCAGUGGGUGGACAAUGUAAUUAGUAUAUACAGUGUCUUUAAGUCCUGGCAAAACCGCAUCCAAUUAGCUCAGCUGUCAGCAGUGGGCGGCAGCAGUUCAAAAAGUUCUGUUCCUCUAGCUGUUCCCCGACCCAGUGAUAUGUUCUAUGGUAAAAUCAUACCAGCGCUCAAAGAGAAAGGUAUAAGGAGAGUAAUUUCACGAAGAGACUGGCCUCAUGAGGUGAAGCGUAAAGUUCUUCUGGAACUUAUGAAGGAGACUCCUAGACAACUUCUUUAUCAAGAACUUUGGUGUGCUAGUGAAGGAUUCAAAGCGUUCAGUUCAAAACAGAAGAGGUUUUCUGGAAGUGUUGCUGCCAUGAGCAUGGUGGGCCAUAUUCUUGGCCUUGGGGAUAGACACUUGGAUAAUAUUCUAAUGGAUUUCUGUAGUGGUGAUAUAGUACAUAUUGAUUACAAUGUUUGUUUUGAUAAAGGGCAAAGAUUAAAAAUUCCAGAAAUUGUUCCCUUCCGCCUUACACAGAUCAUUGAAGCAGCUUUAGGGAUGACUGGGAUAGAAGGUACCUUCAGGUCAAACUGUGAAGCAGUUAUUGGUGUUUUGAGGAAGAACAAAGACAUACUCUUGAUGUUACUUGAAGUGUUUGUUUGGGAUCCUCUUGUGGAAUGGACACGGGGAGAUUUUCAUGAUGAUGCUGCAAUUGCUGGUGAAGAAAGGAAGGGCAUGGAGUUGGCUGUCAGUCUGAGUUUAUUUGCAUCUCGUGUGCAGGAAAUUCGUGUUCCCUUACAGGAGCACCAUGAUCUUUUAUUGGCUACUCUACCAGCUGUUGAAUCUGCUCUUGAGAGGUUUGCUGAUGUUCUAAACCAAUAUGAACUUACAUCUGCACUCUUUUAUCGAGCUGAUCAAGAGAGAUCUAACCUAAUUCUGCACGAGACAUCUGCGAAGUCAAUGGUUGCUGAAGCAACUAGCAAUUCAGAGAAAAUUCGUGCUUCGUUUGAAAUUCAGGCUCGAGAAUUUGCUCAGGCGAAGGCCUUGGUUGCUGAGAAAUCUCAGGAGGCAGCAACCUGGAUGGAACAACAUGGAAGCAUCCUCGAUGCUUUACGAAGCAAUUUACUUCAAGAAAUAAAUGCCUUUGUAAAGCUGAGUAGUAUGCAGGAAAUCUUGUCUCUUACAUCUGCCGUCCUGGUGGCUGGGGUUCCACUGACCAUUGUUCCUGAGCCUACACAAGCACAAUGCUAUGAUAUAGAUAGGGAAGUCUCUCAACUAGUAUCUGAAUUCGACGAUGGACUCUCUUCUGCGAUAAAUGCACUUCAAGUGUAUUCUUUGGCUUUGCAAAGAAUUUUACCAUUGAAUUACAUUACAACGAGUGCAGUUCAUGGCUGGGCACAGGCUCUGCAGCUAUCUGCAAGUGCUCUUUCCUCUGAUAUCCUUUCUCUUGCUAGAAGACAGGGUGCUGAACUUAUUUCCAAAGUACAUGGGGAUAAUACUGAUUCUAUCAAACACAGUCAUGAUGAUAUGUGUCUUAAAGUGAAAAAGUAUGCUCUAGAGAUAGAGAAGCUUGAAGAGGAGUGUGCUGAACUAGUGAACUCUAUUGGCUCGGAGACUGAAUCAAAGGCUAAGGAUCGGCUUUUGUCUGCUUUUAUGAAAUACAUGCAAUCUGCUGGUCUUGCAAAGAAAGAAGAUGCUAUUCUUUCCAUUCAAUUUGGGCAAUCUAAAUAUGAUGGGAAUGGGACAAAGGAUGCUAAAUUGCGUGGGGAGCUAAAUGAGAAAAAGGAAAAGGUUUUGUUUGUUCUGAACUCAGCAGCCAGUUAUUUGUACAAUGAAAUCAAGCACAAGGUGCUCGAUAUAUUCAAUGACUCAAAUAAACGGAGAAAUGCAAACAACCAGUUACAAUAUGAAUUUGAAACUAUUUUCUGUGGGUUUGAAGAGCAAGUAGAGAAGUGUGUACUUCUAGCAGGGUUUGUUAAUGAACUUCAGCAACUGAUUGGUAGAGAUGGACCUAGUGGUGGUGACACAGAUAAAGACCAUCCAGGAUAUUACUCUGAUAGAAAUUGGGCCUCCAUUUUUAAAACCAUUUUACUUUCCUGCAAGAGCUUGAUUGGGCAAAUGACUGAAGCUGUUCUUCCAGAUGUUAUAAGAUCUGCAGUUUCACUGAAUUCUGAAGUCAUGGAUGCAUUUGGACUAAUCUCACAAAUUCGUGGUACUAUUGAUACAGUACUUGAGCAAUUUAUAGAGGUAGAGAUGGAGAGGGCAUCUUUAGUUGAACUGGAACAGAAUUACUUUUUUAAGGUUGGUCUCAUUACUGAGCAGCAGUUGGCUCUUGAAGAAGCUGCCAUGAAAGGCAGAGAUCAUCUUUCAUGGGAAGAGGCAGAGGAGCUUGCAUCCCAAGAAGAAGCUUGUAGGGCACAGCUGGAUCAACUCCAUCAAACUUGGAACCAAAGGGAUUUGCGCACUUCCUCUCUCAUAAAGAGAGAAUCAGAUAUAAAGAAUGCCCUGGCUACUUCUGCCCACCAUUUUCACUCUCUAGUUGGCGUCAAAGAGGAAAGAGAACUGCGUGUCUCAAAAAGCAAAGUGCUAUUGUCGAUGCUUGUUAAGCCCUUUACUGAUUUGGAAUCAAUUGAUAAAGUGUUUUCUUCAUUUGGAUUCACUUCUCACUCAAAUGAGAUUUCUAAUUUAGCAGAUUUGAUGAGUUCAGGGUACCCAAUAUCUGAAUACGUUUGGAAGUUUGGCAGCUCAUUGAAUCAUCAUUCUUUCUUUGUUUGGAAAUUAGGGGUUAUUGAUUCUUUUCUUGAUUCCUGCCUAAAUGACGUAGCUUCAUCUGUGGAUCAAACUUUAGGGUUUGACCAGCUCUACAAUGUUGUUAAGAGAAAGCUUGAAAUGCAACUUCAAGAACAUCUUGGUCGAUACCUAAAAGAACGAGUUGGCCCUAGUUUAUUGGCUUGCGUAGAUAAAGAAAAUGAGCGUUUGAAGCAACUGACAGAGGCUACAAAGGAAGUUUCUCUUGAUCAAGUUAAAAGAGAUGUUGGGGCUCUGAAAAGGGUUCAGCUUAUGCUUGAGGAAUUCUGCAAUGCACAUGAAACUGCCAGAGCAGCAAGGGUAGCUGCAUCUCUAAUGAAUAAGCAAGUGAAUGAGCUCAGAGAGGCUCUUUGGAAGACUGGCCUAGAGAUUGUUCAGUUGGAAUGGAUGCAUGAUGCUACUUUGAACCCUUCUCACAGUAGCAGGGUCAUGUUUCAGAAAUUUCUUUCUGGUGAUGAUAGUUUAUACCCUAUCGUCUUAAAACUGAGCAGACCUAACGUGUUGGAAAGUUUACAAUCUGCUGUGUCAAAGAUAGCUAGGUCUAUGGAGUCACUGCAAGCUUGUGAACGAACUUCUCUUGCAGCUGAAGGGCAGCUUGAGAGAGCAAUGGGAUGGGCCUGUGGUGGCCCAAACUCCAGUGCAACGGGAAAUAAUUCAAGCAAGACUUCUGGAAUUCCUCCCGAAUUUCAUGACCAUCUAAUGAGGCGAAGGAAACUACUAAGGCAAGCUAGAGAAAAGGCAUCAGAUGUUAUAAAAAUUUGCGUGUCUAUAUUGGAGUUUGAAGCAUCAAGAGACGGUAUUUUCCAUUCUCCUGGAGAGAUCUAUCCAUUCAGGACUAGUGCAGAUGGUCGAACAUGGCAGCAAGCUUACUUGAAUGCACUAAAAAGAUUGGAUAUUACUUACCAUUCUUUUGCUCGCACUGAACAAGAAUGGAAGGUUGCAGAAAGGACCAUGGAAACUGCUUCCAGUGGAUUGUCUUCUGCAACCAACGAACUUAGUGUUGCCUCUCUUAGAGCAAAGUCAGCUUCAGGUGAUUUACAAAGCACCGUGCUUGCAAUGAGUGACUGUGCAUGCGAAGCCAGUGUCGCACUGAGUGCAUAUGCCCGUGUGUCAAAUCGUCAUUCUGCUUUGACUUCUGAAUGUGGUUCCAUGCUUGAAGAGGUUCUUGCAAUAACUGAAGAUCUACAUGAUGUUCACAGUCUUGGAAAGGAGGCUGCUGCAGUACACUGUUCUCUUGUACAAGAGCUCUCAAAGGCAAAUGCAAUUCUUCUUCCACUGGAAACAGUGUUGUCCAAGGAUGUAGCUGCCAUGACUGAUGCUAUGGCUAGGGAAAGGGAGAACAAUAUGGAAAUAUCUCCCAUUCAUGGACAAGCAAUAUACCAGUCUUAUUCUUUAAGAAUUAGGGAGGCUCGUCAGGCCAUAGAGCCUUUGGUGCCCUCCCUUACAUCAUCUGUGAAGGGGCUCUAUUCCAUGUUGACUAGGCUUGCACGAACUGCAAGUCUCCAUGCUGGGAAUCUUCAUAAAGCUCUUGAAGGACUGGGAGAAAGUCAGGAAGUAGAAUCACCAGUAAUUGAUGUAUCGAGGCCGGAUCUUGCUGCUGAUGCUACUGGAUUUGACGAAAAGGAGGAGAAAGAGAGCCUCUCCACGUCAAAUGGUGAAAGCACCAAAGAUUUUCUUGGCAUUACUGGACUUACUUUGGAAGCUAAAGGAUGGUUAUCUCCGCCAGAUAGUAUCUGCAGUAGUAGUACAGAAUCUGGCAUUACCUUAGCUGAAGAGAGUUUUCCAGGUAGCUUCAAUGAUCCAGAAGAUAUAGGACAACAGCUUUUGCUUGGGCCUAGCAGCAGAGAGGCUACAGAUUAUCAAAAUACCGCUCCUUACUCUCAAAGUGAUAACCAAGAAAUCACAGAUUCUGCGCAGUUUGAAUCAAAGUACACAGAGGUUGAUAACAUUCAUAUUGUUUCUUUCAAGUCAACACUUAGUGACCCAAAUGAAUAUCCCCAGGCUGUGGCAUCACCAAAUGAUGAAUCUGCAACUGUUGGUCCUGAAAUUUCGCGUCCUUCAAAUGAGAACACACAGGAGAAGUUUGGGAGUAAAGAGGAAAUAUCUUCACUAAACAAGGUCAAAAUUAAGGAUGAAAAUCGUGAUGCUAUGCAGGCUUCUAGCCGAGUAGGCAGGGGUAAAAACCCUUACGCAAUGUCGGUCUUGAGGCGAGUUGAGAUGAAACUAGAUGGUCGAGAUAUUGCUGAGAACAGAGAAAUUAGCAUCUCAGACCAAGUUGACUAUCUACUUAAGCAGGCCACUAGUGUAGACAAUCUUUGCAACAUGUAUGAAGGUUGGACACCAUGGAUUUGAACUUGUGAAGAUGAUGUGUUUCCAAGUCUGUUUACAGAGAGCAAAAAACAGUGUCAGGAAUGUUGGGGUGGUUCAUUUUUGCCGUGCAUAAUCAGACAAUCGAGCAUGGAACCUUUUGCAUCCUUGGCAAACUUUAGCAACCCCGGCUUUCUGUUCGUUUCAAAUCUCAUGGGCCCUGAUCAUUAAAUGUGCCAUGGUUAUCUUUGGAAAGAAACUGGCCACGAAUGUCCAAUGACUGCAUUAGGCAUGUGCCCACCCUAUAACGGUCAGCAGUUAAUUAGGCUGAAGACAUGUGGUGCCUUGAAGAAAUUAAGGAAUGUUUCAUGCGAACCAGUCUUGCAGCUUAAAGCUGAACUCAAUUUCCGAACAAAACAAGGGCUUGCUUAGCUGCCUGCACUGCUUUAGUCCUUUUAUGAAGAUGGGACAACCUCACACUACCAUCCAAAGUAGAAAACUGUUGGAGGUUUGAAAAAGGUUUUUCAACAGUUGCAAUUUAAAGGAUUUUGGAUUUGUGGCAGCUCGCUUGCAUGGUGUAUCACAUUUGCUUAUCUCUGCUCCAUUCUCAGUAUCUCCAAAAGCAGUCUCUAGAAAACCAACACGAGCUCCGUAUCGCAAAUUUGCUUACCAAUUUUAUUUUUCCACAGGUUGCGUUUCAGAAAGAGCAGGAUCUUCAUCUCUGCAGGAAUUCCAAAACUACAACACAACCUGAAAUGCUUAGUUUUUGGACAGUGCUAUCCUCUUUCAUAGUUGGAAACUUGGAGAGUUCCCUUUUAACAUUUUUUCUUCUUCUUCUAGAUUUCUUCUGUGUUGGGGGAGGAUGGUAAGAAUGACAGUUGAAACUAACCAAACAGAGCAGUGGUAUUCUUAAUAAAAAGAUGCACUAAACUAAAUCCAGUCCUCUUUUGAUAAAAUCUGAUCCAGAUUUUGGAACUCAGUUUGACUCUCGGGAAUCGUAUUUAUUAUUAUCAUUCUCUGAAGGGCGACCAAAUACUGGAGAAAGAUUUGCAUGUCACGAGGAUAGCAAAACAUCUCCAUCCAAUUAUGCUCCAUCGUGUGGAAUCUAUAUCACGCAUAUUAAAGCGUGAUUGAUUGGGAAUAGCAAAAUAGUGUUAUUCUCAUAAUAUACAAGUUUUUCUCCAAGUACUGAUUUGGGACUACCCUUGUUUGUGUGUAUGGCCAGACUGGUGAUAUAGUCUACUUGCCGGACCAAAGAAUUUCUCUUACUUAACCUAACUAAAGUUACGAUUUUGGGCCAUCAGAAAAAGAAAUAUAGGAAGCCUUAUGAGAUCCAUAGGAUAAGUAAAUGCCCAAUGUUUUCAUUUCCAUAUCGUUCUAUUCUAUUACCACUAGCUAGCUUACCGUGGUUUUUGGGACUUCCUGUGGCCAGACAAGAAAGUUGAAUGAAACCGACCAACGUAGGUGUUUGUUUCUAUAAAAACAAGCCCACAGAGAGAGAGAUAUAUAUAUAUAUAUAUAUAUAUAUAUAUAUAUAUACAACCUUAUAUAUAGAACCUACCAAGUUCCCUAAAAUUAUCCGACACAAAAAGCUUCAAAAUUAUCCAACCCCGAAAGCUUCAAAAUCUCCCCCUUUCUAAUUUCACAAGCAUUUCAAGGUUUAAGAUAUUCAGUCAUGUCUGCAGUGGCAAGUAUAUGGAGUAGUGAGAUGAACAAGCGGACCCGAAAGGAUCAAACCCUUGCCUCUAAUGCCUCUAAUGCCUCUAAUGCCUCGGGCUCAACUGAUGCUGGGUCUAGCCAGGAGGUGCAAGCAAAAGGAGGGAUCAACUCAACUGUCUUAGCUCCGUUUUUCGGCCGAGUCGUGGGUGCCAACUCGAUUUUGACUAUCUAUUCUGAGGCUUCAAUUUCCAUGCUUGUUGAUUGGUUUAGCGCUUGAAGGAUGUUGCUUCACCAUCUCUGUUUCUUUAUCUUCGUUUUCUCUUUAAGUAUUCAAUAAAAGUAUUGUACAGUUUUCAACACUGAAAUUAUGACUUAAGGCCAGUAGUUUUUUUAAUA